rnacentral:lncRNA from 1 species
AGAAGGUCCAUUCCGAGGAAUUUGCUUGCGUGGUGUGGUGGAGAAGAUACAGCUGGUCACUUUGUAAUGGAAGAAAGUGGAGCUGACCAUGAUAUUGCUAUGGAAGGAUCUAAUGGUUUGUUCAUAGGCAGCUGUAAUGGUACAGAAGAGUCAGAAACAAAUGAUCAGGUUUUUCAGGUGAGAAGUUGCUGCUCAAAGUACAUUUUACUGUUUUUCCUCUGUGAAAGCAACUAACGUGCAUGGAUUCCAGGGAUCCAUUGUUUGGCCAGAGCGACUCUCCCCCGGCCCUGCCCAUCCCAGUCCCCGUCCCGGG